rnacentral:rRNA from 1 species
UACGUAGGGUGCGAGCGUUAAUCGGAAUUACUGGGUGUAAAGCGUGCGCAGGCGGUGAUGUAAGACCGAUGUGAAAUCCCCGGCUUAACCUGGGAACUGCAUUGGUGACUGCAUUGCUGGAGUAUGGCAGAGGGGGGUGGAAUUCCACGUGUAGCAGUGAAAUGCGUAGAGAUGUGGAGGAACACCGAUGGCGAAGGCAGCCCCUGGGCCAAUACUGACGCUCGAUGCACGAA